rnacentral:rRNA from 1 species
CCUACGGGUGGCAGCAGUGGGGAAUAUUGGACAAUGGGGGCAACCCUGAUCCAGCCAUGCCGCGUGUGUGAAGAAGGCCCUCGGGUUGUAAAGCACUUUCAGUGAGGAAGAACGCCUGGUGGUUAAUACCCAUCAGGAAAGACAUCACUCACAGAAGAAGCACCCGCUAACUCCGUGCCAGCAGCCGCGGUAAUACGGAGGGUGCGAGCGUUAAUCGGAAUUACUGGGCGUAAAGCGCGCGUAGGUGGCUUGAUAAGCCGGUUGUGAAAGCCCCGGGCUCAACCUGGGAACGGCAUCCGGAACUGUCAAGCUAGAGUGCAGGAGAGGAAGGUAGAAUUCCCGGUGUAGCGGUGAAAUGCGUAGAGAUCGGGAGGAAUACCAGUGGCGAAGGCGGCCUUCUGGACUGACACUGACACUGAGGUGCGAAAGCGUGGGUAGCAAACAGGAUUAGAUACCCCUGUAGUC